rnacentral:rRNA from 1 species
UGGGGGAUAUUGCACAAUGGGCGAAAGCCUGAUGCAGCGACGCCGCGUGGGGGAUGAAGGCCUUCGGGUUGUAAACUUCUUUUGCUCUGAACAAGGCAUGCCUUUGGGGUGUGUUGAGUGUAGGGGUUGAUUAGCGCCGGCUAACUACGUGCCAGCAGCCGCGGUAAUACGUAGGGCGCGAGCGUUGUCCGGAAUUAUUGGGCGUAAAGGGCUUGUAGGUGGCUGGUUGCGUCUGUCGUGAAAGCUCAUGGCUUAACUGUGGGUUUGCGGUGGGUACGGGCUGGCUUGAGGGCAGUAGGGGGGGCUGGAAUUCCUGGGGUAGGGGUGGAAUGCGCGGAUAUCAGGAGGAAUAACGGUGGCGAAGGCGGGUCUCUGGGCUGUAACUGACGCUGAGGAGCGGAAGCGUGGGGAGCGAACAGG